rnacentral:rRNA from 1 species
AGAGCGAACGCUGGCGGCAGGCUUAACACAUGCAAGUCGAGCGGGCGUAGCAAUACGUCAGCGGCAGACGGGUGAGUAACGCGUGGGAACAUACCUUUUGGUUCGGAACAACCCAGGGAAACUUGGGCUAAUACCGGAUAAGCCCUUACGGGGAAAGAUUUAUCGCCGAAAGAUUGGCCCGCGUCUGAUUAGCUAGUUGGUGAGGUAACGGCUCACCAAGGCGACGAUCAGUAGCUGGUCUGAGAGGAUGAUCAGCCACAUUGGGACUGAGACACGGCCCAAACUCCUACGGGAGGCAGCAGUGGGGAAUAUUGGACAAUGGGCGCAAGCCUGGAUCCAGCCAUGCCGCGUGAGUGAUGAAGGCCCUAGGGUUGUAAAGCUCUUUUGUGCGGGAAGAUAAUGACGGUACGCAAGAAUAAGCCCGGCUAACUUCGUGCCAGCAGCCGC